AGAAUGCAGGGAUAUAGUGACAGUUACUUGACACAGCGGUUUAGUUGCAUUUCUCCAUACUUUAAAUCCUAGAGAAAUUUGUGAGUGCCUUAGCAGCUUGUGUUUUAAAGCAUUAACCUUUACUAAUAAACAUUGAAAAUUUUAGCAAUAAAUGUAAGUAUUAACGAAACAACUUGAUCAAAACCAGUUAAAGGAGGAAAACAAUACAUGUUGAAAACUUCAGCAAAGCUGCUUCUUGGCCUUUGCUCCAUAUAUCUGACGACCUUGGAAAGUGAUGACUUUAUAGCAUGUGACCACGUGGCUCUCACCACUGUGAGCUCUUCUGAAUUCAUUUGUAACAACUCAAGCUCUCCUAGUUCUCAGUGACUAACAAUCGGUCAACUUACCACCAAAGACGUCUACAAUCCACAUCUAAAGGCAUUUUAAAGCACAGACCAGUGGAUCAACAGCUUUCAUCACAUGAGAAGGAAGAGCUGUGCGAAUUCACAGAGGGUGGUGGUUUUUGUUCUUCAAGGUGAAGAAGUUUCAUUCAAAAGUUGUCAGCUGGUACGAAUCCCUCUGUGGCGUUCCCUGCAUGUGUGGGGCUAAGGUUUGCUGAAUAGUCAAAGAAUGGAAGUCUUUCUCUUUGAAGAUCACCAGGCGCCUACCACGGAGAUACAAUGACAUCCUGUCUAACGGUGGUAACUAGUCUCUACCCAUGUGGUCAGAAAUAAAAAUAAUUGAAACAUGGUGUUA